GAUGCCUUACACAUGCAAGUCGAACGGCAGCACGGACUUCGGUCUGGUGGCGAGUGGCGAACGGGUGAGUAAUGUAUUGGAACGUGCCUAGUAGCGGGGGAUAACUACGCGAAAGCGUAGCUAAUACCGCAUACGCCCUACGGGGGAAAGCAGGGGAUCGCAAGACCUUGCACUAUUAGAGCGGCCGAUAUCGGAUUAGCUAGUUGGUGGGGUAACGGCUCACCAAGGCGACGAUCCGUAGCUGGUUUGAGAGGACGACCAGCCACACUGGGACUGAGACACGGCCCAGACUCCUACGGGAGGCAGCAGUGGGGAAUUUUGGACAAUGGGGGAAACCCUGAUCCAGCCAUCCCGCGUGUGCGAUGAAGGCCUUCGGGUUGUAAAGCACUUUUGGCAGGAAAGAAACGUCAUGGGUUAAUACCCCGUGAAACUGACGGUACCUGCAGAAUAAGCACCGGCUAACUACGUGCCAGCAGCCGCGGUAAUACGUAGGGUGCAAGCGUUAAUCGGAAUUACUGGGCGUAAAGCGUGCGCAGGCGGUUCGGAAAGAAAGAUGUGAAAUCCCA
rnacentral:rRNA from 1 species